UAGAUCAUAUCACUUGAAUUGAAGGGCAGCCUUUAAAGAAGUAAGAAACUUCCUCUGCUUUACGACUGAUUGUUCCUUGGGCCGCGAAUUCAAUACGAACUUUGGACAGCCAUUAAUAUCAAGUUUGUCUUCUGAUAAACACAGUCCAUUUCCAAGAGUAACCAACUCAGGCAAGUUCUGAAGUACAAGUUUUCUUAAUUCAGGAAGCAUUUCAGCAUUGUUGUUAGUGUUGACUUUCUCCUUUUCUUGUCUAACUAUUUUCUCGACGGAUUCGCACUCUUCAACCACGAGUUCCUUCAAGUUGGAAAGACUUGGAAGCAUCGAUUCCCAGAGUACGAAUUUUAGCUUACGACAUGUGCUGACUGUUAGAUGAGUAAGUGCCGGAAAGCUUCCCUUGACCGAAGGUGAUUUGCAUAUAUACUCCAGCUCCCACAAAUAAUAGAUACUCAAAUGUUCCAAGCAUGGAAAUGCACCUUCGGUCGAAUUGUUGCCUAUAAUCGACUGGAUUUUCGGGCACUCCCUCAACAGGCAAAACUUUAGUAACUUGAACAUGGAAAUCCCGAAUUCCGACAAGCUUUUGACUUUCAUGUGAUGAUCCAGGUAGAAUGAUGUGGCGCGCGCAAGUACAUUUUGAAUCACUUGAGGUACCUUUUCAUUCCCAUUCACAAAUCUCAAGGACUGUCUUUCUUCGUGGAACGCCAGUUCAAUCUCGUUCGGUACUCGAGAUGCUAUUCUUUUCACAUCGCGGCCAACGACGAAUUUGAACUUGAUUAACGUUCCCUUGAACCAAGAAGAGCUCCUCCCAAUAAAAUCUUCAAACAUUUGAACUUGUGGAAAGUAGAACUGAAGAUAACUGAGAUUCUCGAACACGCCAAUGUCCUUCAAUAUCGGUUCGGCGAUCUUUACCCAACGGUGGUCAUCAGGGUGCACUGAAAUGGUUAGAGUUUCCAAUUUCUCGAUCUUUGAUAAAAAACCGGGAGAAACCAGCCGGGGUGGCAAAUGGGCAUAUUCACUUUCAUCAUCAGGCCCAUAAAACGAGAGCUGCAUAUGCGUUAGAAGCGUAAGUUCGCCAAUUUCAUCAGGCAGGUCAUAGAGUUCACUGCCUGAGAGAUCGAGCACUUCCAAAUUCGCGAGUUCACGUAUUUGAGGUGGAAGAUUGUCAAGAGAAAGACAGUUUCUCAACAGAAGCACCUUAAGUUUGGAAAGGCCGAAAAGUGAACUAGGCAAGAUCCUGAUCCUAGUAUCCGACAUGUCAAGAAAAAGAAGAUCGGGCAUGGUUUGGAAAAAGGAGUCGUGGAUACGAGCCAAGCGGUCGUUCUUUUGGAGGAACAUGAUACAAGAAUUAGGGUAGUCUGGUUUAUCAGGAAGCUGACACAAGUCUUGUUCUGCCAGGUUUAUCACUGAGGAAUUCUCAUUUUGUCCCGAUGAUGAUGGAUAAUCUCCAAUUGAGAUAGUUUGAUGAUCUAAUUCUAGAUUUACAAUGUUGCCCUUCGUACUAAUCAAAUAAUGUUCAUCUUUCGGGAAAAAAUCACCAUAAACUUUCUUUAUUUCCUGUGAACAAGAACGGUGCAAGUUCUCCUCUUUGAUGUCGACAAAUUUGGGCAUCUCGUCAGUUUGCUUUUGCUCUGCAUGAUUCAAAUUAUGUGCACCUGAGAGAGAAUCUGCAUUCGGAGUAGGGAGAAUCAUUUUAUUUCUAGUAAAUGAAGAUGCUUUCUCAAGAACUACACCGCUCACGGUACUUUCUGGAAUGGAUAUUGGUUCACUUCGUAAUGGUUUUGCAACACUGACAGCAUCACUUACUUUUUGCCGCAACAGGCUUUUGUUGACCGAAUAAGUCAAUCCCAAAAUAGCAUCUGUGGCUUGCGGAACCGUCGACAGGUUACUUUCAUCGCUGUAACUUUGUCCAAUUGACAAAUAAUCCAUCAGGUUGUUUUUUCUAGCAGCAAUUUGUUUCGUAGGCUUACGUGGUGGAUGCAUUCUUUUUUCUACAACAUUGUAGAAUUUACUUCCACUUGUGUACUGCCGCGUCUUUGUUUUAUGAUAUAUGUCUAAAUCUGGUUCAUAUUUCUCAUGUUUUUGUACGAUUUCAGGGAUUGGUUUGUCAUACAUAUAUUCAUCUUUGAAUGGGCAUCUCUUGAGCUGAUUGAUCAUUUCGAUGCCUACUGCUACCAACUCUUCACGUAUUUGCAAAUCUCCCUUUCUGUUUCGUUGCUUCUCUAUAAGAUCACUCACUUGACAUUUCAACGCUCGAGCCUCCAAUGGCCAUUGGCUUAAUUUCUUAGGUAGAAAUCUACCUUGCAGAAGCACUUUAUCUAUUUGUUUGUCGACAUGAAAAAGUAGGACGCACAAACGGUUGAGAAGUUUCUCUGUGCGUAUUUCCACCACAUUCUGGGAUUGUUGCACGUAUUUAUUUGUUCCCAUCGGAAAUCCUUCAACUAAAGUACCUACAAUUUGAGGAGCAAAAAAACUUAGAAACAACCGAGUUAUCUUCUAAGAAAGUAGGUGUGCUCCCAAAUACUUGAACUCAAUUUAACAUGAGAGGUAUUAAUUGGACCUUGUGAUUGUUGGAAAUUUUAUUAAAAUAAAUUAUUUUAAUGUGAAUGAAAAAUUAAAAUUUGGAAAGAUGUUUAGACAACUAUUUCAAGUGAAUACGUGUUUUACACUAAUGAAGAGGUGUUGCACCUUUGCAAAUGAAGUUGUCCAUAAAGGUGUCUUUUUGUCAUAAUCUUAGAAAUUGUUUUAAACAAGGGGAAAUAUGCAAUACACCCCUUAAAUCGAAAAUAUUUUGAACUAGACCCGAUUGACUUUUAAAGACUUUUCCUACACCCAAAUUUCAUUCUUAAUUAAUGAGACCCCCCUCUACUAGUGUGAGAAGACAAAUGUACCCUCAACUACUAUAACUCUAAUUAUUUGCCAACAUCUAUUACUUUCAUCUUCUCCACCUCUCCACCUCAUUCAAUUCUAUCCGGAAAUUCCAAGCUUCAUCCUCCGCAGUUGCAACCGCCGCUGCCGCCGCGCCACCGCCACUCAUUGCCGCCUUCGCUUCCCCCUUCAUCUCCACAUAAAUAUCUUUCUCUCGUUCUUUAUCUCUCUCAGUUUCUCUCUCUCUUUACACCACCAUCGUCUUCACAUAGAUUUUUACACAACCACCAUUGCCGCUCGUUGCCACCGCCGCGUCCUUCGUCUCCAGGUAAGGUUUUUUCUCACUUUUUUGUUACUUCUCUCGAUUUCUCAAAAAAAAAAAAUUCAGAUCUGUCCACCACCAACAUUGUAGCCGCCUCCUCCACUCUCUCUUUCAUUCACCAUCGUUGUUGCCACCUCCCCUCACUCCCUUUCGUUAUUUUCUGACUUUUUUUCUUUUUUUUCUCCCAGAUCUGAAGCAGCAGAAUUAACGUGACUAUAGUCUGGUUUGAAUAUGACUAUUGCUGAUUCACUGGAUUAGUGAUUAAUUAAUUUCUCGUAUGUCACGCGAAUCACCAAUACGAGUUUUUUUCUAAUUUCUCCUCGCAGCCCGUCUAGAAUUUCUCCAUUACACAAAACCAAAUUGAUCGAAGAUGCAUUUAUUUUAAUAUUGUGCUACAGUCGAGGAAUCGACGAUGGAAGGAAGAGGUGGAGAAGUGGAUACAGAUCAACUGGACGGCGAUUGAAGGGUUAGGGCUGCAUUUAGCAAUUGAAAUAAGGAGAAUCAAUUUUUGAAGUUAGAGAGAGAAGAAGUGAAUGUAAAAAUGAAGAAGGAAUGAAGAAGAAGAAGGAGGCUAUCUUCAUAAAAGUAAGAGUAAAAAUGUUAUUGAACUGUAAUUUUUAACCAUUCUUUUAUUUUAUUUUAUUUCUCUUGUCAAUUUCGCCAAACGAGACAAUUCAAUUUUGCUGAAGAAAUGGUCACUUUGAAUUUUUCUAUCCUUGUUCUAAGAAUCUAAAGGGUUGACUUCAUUGGGCGUUGACUAAUGGAAAAGACAGCUGAGCCUGUUCAUACCUCUCUCUCUCUCUCUCUCUCUCUCUCUCUCUAGUUCAUACACGCAAAAAACAAUCAAGAUAUGGAGGCUUCGGCAAUAUCAUUCAUUGAUUUGCUGCGAAACAUUUUCCGAGUCAUGCGCCGCAAGGAAUCAGCAUUGGAUUACGAUAUUUUGCUGCGAAAGAUUUUCGAGAGCACUCCACAUGUUGAUGAAUUCAUCAAUCCUGGAAUUGCGACUACAGGCUCUGAGAAACUCUUUGAAACGAGUAUGACUCAGAAGAUUAUAUCCGCAAUAAUUGAGGCGCGCAACACAACUCCUCAAUUGUCGGUGAUUCCAAUUGUCGGCGUCUGUGGAAGCGGGAAGACAGCACUUGCUCGACUGGUUUACAACGACGACGCAGUGAUGAAGGAACAUUUCAAACUGCGUGCAUGGGUUAAAGUGGAGGGACAAGAAUUGAGGCUGCAUCAAGUUGCUCAAGGAAUACUAAAAUCCUUAUUGGAUAUCUCGUGUUCCAUUGAUGACAUGGAUGAAUUGGAUGAAAUCGUCAGAGAAACUUUACAAUCUGAGAGAUGCUUGAUUGUGUUUGACGGUGUCGAAUCCAUGUCUGACGAUUCGUGGCUCCACAUGGUUAAACGCUGGUUUGACUUUGCGGAUUUGGGAUCUGUGGUCUUGAUCACAUCCUGUCGCAAACAAGUUACAAAUCUUGUCUGGAAUCACAGACCGUUCGAGUUGUCACAAUUGUCCGAGGAUGCUGCUUUGUCUCUGUAUAGACAUCUUGCGUAUAGUUUCUCGGAAGAGGAUGUAACAACUCCAUUGAUGGCUAAAAAUGUUGCAGCCUUGUGUGGGGGUGAUUCGUUAUCUUUAAGACUUUUCGGUAGCUGUAUGAGAAAUCACUCCAUCCUUCGGGAACUAAUUUCUACCGUGGAUUUCUCGGUUGUUAUGCUGCUGCCGGCUCCUGAUGCAUCGGCUGUUAUUUUGAUGUGCGUUUGGGCUCUUCCUCAACAGUUAAGGCAAUGCCUUGCCUUGUGCUCCGUUUUUCCUAAAGGUUAUGCACUCAACAAACAAAAGGUCAUUAGGAUGUUGAUUGCACAUCUGGAUUGUUGUAACCAGUUGAGUGAUUUCGAUGAUUCUUGCGUUGACCAGUUGAUCUCGAUGUCAUUCUUCACCGAUGUGACAUACGAUGAAUACGGUGAGAUUGAAGAGUUUCAGAUGCCUGACUUGAUCCGUAAAAUAGCAGAGGAUGUUGCUAGGGUUGUCUUGAAAUUGAAGCUAGGUGUGAUUGGCUCCAUUGGUGAAGAUGCUGAAGCACUCUCGUUUACAGGAGAGUAUAACCCGCAACAACUUCAAACAAUGAUCUUAUCACCUAGCAUAUUUUUGGGAGGCGAUCUAGAUCAUUGGCUAGCUGAAUUCUUGAAUUUGCACUCACUUGAUUUGAGUUGCAGUGGCAUUCGGAUGUUGUCAGAAGAUAUAUGCGAGUUAGAAGAGCUCAGGUACAUUAAUCUCUCCAAUACGCUGAUUGAAAUGUUACCAGAUUCCAUCACUCGUCUUUCAGAGUUACGAACCCUGGAUCUAUCAUGGUGUUCUCAUCUCAAAGCUUUACCUGCGGGACUGCGUUAUCUGACGCAAAUGACACAUUUAGAUUUGUACCGGUGUGAGUCUCUGUCGCAUUUGCCGUCUGGAAUUGGCUUCCUUGAAAAUCUCACUUCAAUGCCACUGCUUGUUUUGGGUAACAAGGAUCAUUAUUGUGCUAGCUUAGGAGAUCUUCGAGGGUUAAACAAGCUCAGGGGCAGAUUAGAGAUCAGAAAUCUCAAGAAUGUAAGGCUAAUUAGCGACGCCGCGAAUGCGGAGCUGCGUCAUAAAAAUCUCGUCCACUUGGGAUUGUCCUGGACUAGUAGUAGUAGUAGUAGUAGUCGAAGUAAGGCCGAUGAGUAUGAUUGCUUUAAAGUACUAGAGUGGUUGGAGCCGAAUGAGAGACUCAGAGUUCUUGAAUUAACAGGCUACAUGGGUACCCGAUUUCCUCUGUGGAUCUCGUUCAUGCACAAUCUAACUAAGAUUUCCAUUUCCGACUGUGGGUUUAAGGAACUUCCGGCGGCACUAGGCAAGCUGCGUAGCCUCGAGGAGCUGCAGCUGAGACAGAUGAGGUUUAUCGAGCGCAUCGUUGCAGAGUUUUACGGUGAUUGUGAUGUAUUUCCAUCACUGAAACAACUCGGUCUUCAUGAUCUGCCGAGGCUCUUCAAAUGGUCAAACGAUGUAAAGCUUCCCGUUUCGUCCCACUUAUUUCCUAGGCUCGAAACCCUAACGGUCGAAGGUUGUCCUCGGCUCGAACGUUUGCCUUCCAUCCCAAAUACCCUACGCCACUUGACAGUUUGCAACAGCAGUAGUAAGAUCCUUAACCCCUUGACUAGGUUUGACUUUCGUUCUUCUGUUCUUAUCAAAGAUAUGGAACUAGGGAUGCCUUUGAAGCAUUUAACUUCGUUGUAUUGGGUCCAAAAACUCAUUCUAUUCAACAUCAAGAAUGAAAUUACUAUUGAUAAUAGUGUAGCUCGCCUCGAGAAAUUCCCUUUCCUAAAACAUUUGGGUAUCCUACACUGCCACCAGCUAAAAAGUAUUAAUCUUGUUAUUUCUUCAUCCCUUGGGAAGCUACAUAUUUCAGACUGUCCGAUUCUGACACACAUUUCUCUCGAACGUUUGAGUUUCCCUCCCAGACUCGGUGAGUUGGUUGUUGAGGAUUGUCCUCAGGCAACGGAAGUCAAUGAGCUCAGCAGUUGCCGUUCCCUCAGGAAGUUGAUCAUUCAAAGUUGCAGUGAAUUUGAAAUCGGUUAUGAACUGGUGGAUCUAGCAAUGCUCGAGUAUUUGUUUAUUAGUGGAAGUCCAAAGAUCGAAAAACUGUUGCAGAUGGACACUUCACUAAUAUCUCAUAUCCCAUGCGUCAUACUUGGAAACCGAAAAAUCGUAACUCUCACAGAUAGUACUUUUUCCGACUCGAAAUGAUAAUGAGUACUGGAGGAUGUCACCAUGUAACGAGUACCGAAACUGAGCUCGAAUCAGAAUCCUCCAUCUUUUCCACGUAAUGCCCCCAUCAAUUUUUUUUUUUUUUUUUUUUUUAAUAUUUUUUUUCCCUAGCACGAAUGGUUCAACUCGAUUUUUUUCGUUUCCAUUAAACUGUUUAUAAGAUCAUGAUUUACACUCUAUUUUAUUACUUGUGCGGAUAGCAUAACUGUUGGGCCCCUAUCGGGAUAGCACGAACUCCACAUUGGUAUGAUAUUGUCCAGAUUGGGCCGGGCCCAACUGGUUUUGCUCUUGGGUUUCCCCAAAAGGCCUCAUGCCAAUGGAGUUACUAUCCCCUCCUUAUAAAGGAUAGAUCUUUCCCAUAUUUAACCGAUGUGGGACAUUGUUUGCACCUCAACAAUCCUCCCCUCGAACAAAGUACCACAUAGGUCGGACCACAAAGGACCACCGAGCCUCCCCUCAAUUUGCGCCUGGGGCUCACACCACCGAGCCUCCCUCCUGGAGCUCGUCGAGCCGCCUUCAUUUGCGCACCGGGAGCUCACCAUUUUUGUUCGGCACCGAGGAUUCGGGAAUUUCCACCGAUUCCGGCAACUUCCACCACAUGGUUAGGUCUGGGCCAUGGCUCUGAUACCACUGUUGGGCCCCUAUCGGGAUAGCACGAACUCCACAUUGGUAUGAUAUUGUCCAGAUUGGGCCGGACCCAACUGGUUUUGCUCUUGGGUUUCCCCAAAAGGCCUCAUACCAAUGGAGUUACUAUCCCCUCCUUAUAAAGGAUAGAUCUUUCCCAUAUUUAACCGAUGUGGGACAUUGUUUGCACCUCAACAAUAACUUAUGGAUUUAUAUUCUCCAUGUUCUUAAUCUGCAUCAAUAGAGUUUAUUCGUUUUUUAGUUUCUUCUAUAGGUUUCCGUAGAUUUAAACUCAAGUUCGUUGUUAUUAUGUUUUGCAGGAGUGUCUGAUGUAGUGUUAAUGUCCAUUAACCACCAAGAAAGUCUGGAGAAAAAAUCCCACAACAAUUCCAAGAGGUUUUGACAACAAGAAGCAUUGAAAUUUACUUUAAUGAAAUUAAAUGAAAUAAAGAAAACUAGAAAAUAGUGGUCAAAUUCUCUCACAUGAAUGCAUCAGGAAGUCCUCAUUUGUGUCUUAUGAGUUUCUUUUAUCCCUUUAUAAUAAGUUGUAUUCAAUUUUUUUUUGGGGAGUUUUUUUUGGUGGAAAACUUAGAAACUCAAGGGUUGUUCUUAUUUUCCUAAAGUAAUUUUUGUAAUUGGAUGCCUUUUCUGCAAUUUUGUCUAUUAAAAUUGUGUAGAUUCAAAGAAGGUUGGGUAUCUAGAGAUUGCGCUCGCUUCCUGCGGAAUGGCCCGUAAUAGAGGACGUGGUUGUGGUCGAGAAGCCAAUCUCAAUGAUGUUUACGAACUUGAUGAAAUAGCUCGAUUAACUCAGCAAGUGGAAGCAUUAAUGUGUGAAAACGCAGAACUACGGAAUCAACACCAACGUAAUCCAUCACCUCAACCAUCGGUGGAGGAUGAAUUUUCUGACGUAGAAGUAGAGUACUUUCAGAAUCCGUUUGGUUAGACACAUCGUCAACGACGAGGUUAUUUCAGAGGAGAUCGAGAAAACUCUAGUGCACAUAGAUGGGAAUCUGGUAUAAGAAUGGAUAUUCCGGAAUUUCAUGGCAACCUUCAAGCCGAGGAAUUAUUGGAGUGGUUUUCCGCUACUGAGGAGAUCCUUGACCUCAAGGAAGUGCCAGAAAAUAAGAAGGUUGGCUUAGUCGCUACAAAAUUUCGUGGAACGGUUGCAUCGUGGUGACAACACAACAAAGCUAAUUGUACUAGGCAAAGAAAAAAGAGGAUUACAUCUUGGGAUAAAUUAAAAAAGUAUAUUAUUCCAACAAUUACAGAAUUUAAGGCAAGGGAACAAGUCGGUAGAUAAUUAUACCACAAAAUUCUAUAAGUUGGCUUUGUAUAAUGAUCUCUCUUUGUUUUGUUGUUGUUGUUCUUGUUGUGCCGCGUGUUAAAACAAAUUACACUCUUGUGAUGUGCCAGUGAUGUGUUGUUACAUUUUACGUAACAAGUGAAAAUAAAUAAAUGAAUGAAUAAAUAAACCAGUUGUUGAGGGCAAAAUUCAUUUUUAUGCAGCCAAUCAUAUAAGUGCACUGUGUCAAUCUAUACUAUUGUAUAAUAGUUUGCAAAUUAUAUGAGAGACGUAAGCCAUAAUAAGUUAACCAUGUGUGACAAACUCGACCUAGCGAUCGUUGGGGAUUUGAAUGUGAGUCAAUUGACACAUAUUCACUUGCUCCAACCGCAGAGUCAUCCCUCGUGGGAGGUAAAAUUCAUUUUCGCCCUGAGCUCUACUGUCAAAAGCAAAAUCAUCCUUGUGGUUUUAAUUUCCUUCAGUUUUGUCACUGCAGCCAAUUUAUUCUCCAAAUUCCAUAUAUUUUUAAGAAAUCCCCACACUACCCUUACAAAACCUGACAAAAAAAAAUCUCUUGAAAAAAAAAAAAAAAUCACUGCAACAUCCUCCAAUCCUAAAGAAAGAUAUACUCCAAUUAAAUUGACUAAUGUCUUCAUCACCGUGGAUUGCAAACAUAACACCUUCUACUAAUACCAUUUCAUUUAACCAAUUUUUUUUUAACAAGCAUCACUAGACAAAGAUAAGAAGUCAUAUAGCCGUUACUUUCCAAAUUCCGCAGAGAAUAAUUUCUUCUCAUAAAAACUAAUAUCCAAAUUAAAGCGCAUUUUCUGCAAAUAAAAUAGGUGUAACAUUAUGUAUUUAUCAUAAUCCGUCCAUAUUGAACUCAAAAAUAGUAAUAAUAUGCAAAAAAUCCCAUCUAUAUAAGAUUUUCUUCUGAUUUUUUGGGGAAAAAAAGGAUUUGAAGAUAGGGCGAAUGGCAAAAAGGCUCAUCACAAGGGACUUAAAUGGACAUUGGUCCACAAAAAAAAAAAAACAGUCUUUCAAUAAACUCAUCCCCACGUCUUUAGUCUAAAAUACCCCCCAUAAUAUAACUUUUAUCAAUUUCAUCUAUUAUGCUCUAACUUCCUUAAUAUUACACAUUGACCCCGAAUUUAAACAAAUAUAUCACAUUAACCCCCAAAAUAAUAUUUUUUUGAAUUUUUUUUUUUCAAAAAAUAAUUUUUUUCUGAAUUUUUUUUUUCCGGCCAGAUUCCGGCGUUGACUUUUGUUUUGUUUUUUGAAAACUUUUUUUCUUCUAACGGUAGAGUGAUAACCCCAAUGCGUUGUGAGUUGUGAUAAUCCAAAUGCGCCUACAAUAGAUUCACGUGCCAAUUAGGAAACCACAUGCCACAUAUAAAACAACGCAUACACUAGGUGAUUUGACGUGGUUGCGCUGAUGAUUGUCCUCCGAGCUCAAGUCAGUGCCUGAUAACCCUGAUCAAUCGAACUUAAAGUGUGAUGUGCCUAAUUGGAAUUUUGCCCAAAAGACCCAAAUUGUUGAGGUGCAAACAAUGUCCCACAUCGGUUUAAUAUGGGAAAGAUCUAUGGUUUAUAUAGAGGGGAUAGUAACUCCAUUGGUAUGAGGCCUUUUGGGGAAACCCAAAAGCAAAACCAGUUGGGCCCGGCCCAGUCUGGACAAUAUCAUACCAAUGUGGAGUUUGUGCUAUCCCCGCGGGGGCCCAACAGUGGUAUCAGAGCCAUGGCCCAGACCUAACCAUUCCCGAAUCCUCGGUGCCGAACAAAUAUGGUGAGCUCCCGGUGCGCAAAUGGAGGUGGCUCGACGGGCUCCAGGUGGGAGGCUCGGUGGUGUGAGCCCCAGGCGCAAAUUGAGGGGAGGCUCGGUGGUCCUUUGUGGUCCGACCUAUGUGGUACUUGGUUCGAUGGGAGGAUUGUUGAGGUGCAAACAAUGUCCCACAUCGGUUUAAUAUGGGAAAAAUCUAUGGUUUAUAUAGAGAUCUAUGGUUUAUAUAGAGGGGAUAGUAACUCCAUUGGUAUGAGACCAAAUGGAGGUGGCUCGACGGGCUCCAGGUGGGAGGCUCGGUGGUGUGAGCCCCAGGCGCAAAUUGAGGGGAGGCUCGGUGGUCCUUUGUGGUCCGACCUAUGUGGUACUUGGUUCGAUGGGAGGAUUGUUGAGGUGCAAACAAUGUCCCACAUCGGUUUAAUAUGGGAAAAAUCUAUGGUUUAUAUAGAGAUCUAUGGUUUAUAUAGAGGGGAUAGUAACUCCAUUGGUAUGAGACCUUUUGGGGAAACCCAAGAGCAAAACCAGUUGGGCCCGGCCCAGUCUGGACAAUAUCAUACCAAUGUGGAGUUUGUGAUAUCCCCGCGGGGGCCCAACACAAAUCAACAUGGCGAAAAAAAUUACUUUGUGAAAAUGGGGGUUAAUGUGAUAUAUUUAUUCACAUCCGGGGUCAAUAUGCAAUAUCGAUAUAAAGUUAGAGCAUAAUAAAUGUAAUUGAUGAAAAUAACCCCAUGAGGGGUAUUUUGACAAAAUAAAUGUCUUUAUGACUUGUGAGUAAUCACUAAUCAAAGAUUGAAGAGAUUUAAAUGAAAAUUAAUCAAUCAUGUGUUGGCCACAGAUAUAAAUAAAUUUUAUCCUUUUCUUUUUUCUGAAAAACGGUUUACAGACCAGACGACAAGAGACGAAUAUUUAUAGAAGAUACUAAAAUGUAAUAGUAACUCAAUAUUCAUCUCAUUAAUAUUUUAAUGGCAAAUUAUUGCCACCCCAAGUUAUGGUCAAAUUACGAAAAAUCCCUUCCUGUUUGGAUAAUUAUAGCCACCCUUCAACUAUGUAUGAUCUUACAAAAAAACCUCUCCAGAGGUAAAUUUAGGAAUGUUAAAUCGGUAAAAUCGAAUCGAAAUUUCGGUCCGCUAACAUUUCAUACCAUUUACCGAACUGAAUAUACGAUUUGGUUCGGUAAAUAACCGAAUUACAUAAAUUUUAUGUAAAUAUUUAAAAGGUACCCAAACAAGAGGGUUUUUUUCGUAAUUUGGCCAUACCUCAGGGGUGGCCGUAAUUUACCCAAUAUUUUAAAGAAUUCACAUACAGAAUUGUCUCGAUACGCCGAAAUCGAAUGGACCUAUAUAUUUGAAAAUAUAAGGAUGAUUUGAAGUCCCUAUUUAUAUUCCUCGAAAUAUAAAAGAAUAGAAUGCUAACACAUUCAAUUUGGUUUCAAUACAUCAAUCGUGCUCAUCAAAACUUGUAGUAUAUGUUAAUUUUCGAGACAAAAUUCAUUAAUGAAUAACAUGAGAACAAACCAAACUUGUAAAUUAGGCGGAGGGAUCUUCUGAAGCCUUUUUCUCCCUUUGUUUUUCCCUCUUUUUCUUGUUUUUCAGUGCAUUCUUGCUCAAUUCUCUGAAGUUUAAUUAGAGAGAGAGAGAGUCAUCAUAACCAAUAAGAUACACCCGAAAGAAAAAAAAAAAAAAAAAAAGANNNNNNNNNNNNNNNNNNNNNNNNNNNNNNNNNNNNNNNNNNNNNNNNNNNNNNNNNNNNNNNNNNNNNNNNNNNNNNNNNNNNNNNNNNNNNNNNNNNNCUAUGUUUCAGGAGGUGAGUGUAAUUAUCGAUAUCACAGGGACCUUAAAGUUAUUUCAGCAUACCUCAGGGGUGUGAGUGUAAUUUACCCAUACUUUUAUUUUUUUGGCAGUCAAUAGUAAUUAGAGGCUGUGUUUGCUUUGGUAGGAUGCACAAAAGAUACUUAUUGGAUUAAGUCUUAAUUUAGUAAAGAAUACUAAGGAUAACAAAUUUCCUAGUUCUCCAACAACUCUUUUUGCGUCUCGUUCUUGCGGCAAUUAAAGAUCUGUUAAUCUGAAACAAAAGUGAAUUAUUUCAUACAACAACCUAUCUUAAGUAACGUAACAGUGAAAUCAUAAAUGCGAUAACGAAAGAUUGAUCUAAUAUGAUCAGGCAUAAUAAACAUGUGAAUUCGGCACACUAAUUAAUUAUGCAAUUGACUUCACAUAGCUCCCAUAUACAAUUGAACCUCUAUAAAUUAAUACAGUCGGGGCUAGGGAAACUCUAUUAAUUUAGCGAAUUAUUAAAUUAUCUAGUUAAUAAUUUAACAUAUUUUCACCGAGUCGGGACCGAGAGAAACUAUUAUUUAAGCGAGGUUAUUAAUUUUAUCGAGGUUCUAUUGUACUAGAUUCUAUAAUGACAAGCAAUUUCGUGGAUACAUUGAUUGUUGAUCUAAACAGCAAUUGUUACAGCACAAUACACACGAGAAUGGAUAGAAAAAAACUUAUUCCAAUAUUCCAAUAUUUAUUUUACCAAUGAUAAAUUUUCUUAAAGGGUGUUUGGCUAAACUUAUUUUAAACUAUCUGAUAAGUUCUUACAUCUGAUAAGCUCUUUCAAGAGUUGAUGAUAAGCUGUUACGUCUUAUUUUUAAAAUUAAUUUUUUAAGUGUUCUGAUGAUAAGCUUAUAAGCUUUUUUACCUCAUUGUAAGAUCUUAAAAGGUGGGGUAUCGGUACUUUCUAAAAAAGAUCUUAAAAAAGCUCUCAAACAGCUUAUUUUUUUUUUAUUUUUAAGAUCUUUUUGAAAAAAAAUACCAAAAACUUUCGAAGAGCUUAUAGGUCUUAAACUUGUUAUAAGCUGUUUUUAACAGCUUAUUAACUUAGGCAAACAUCCUGUUAAUUUGAUCUAAUGGAGUCAAUAAGUUCAAUCAGCUUAAAAGAUGUUCCAAUUAGUGUAAGGGCAUGAGUAGUUUGUGUGAAAACGAAAUGAAAAACUUAAUAAAAUAUAUAUAUUUAAUUAAUUUCACAGCGUACCUCUGCCUGAACGGAAACUGCUGCUUUAGCAUGAGGCGGGCGAUAAGCUGCAGGUUUCUGUACGGAAGGGGCGGAAGCAGCUUUUGUGGAAGCCUGAGCAGCUUUUUUCAACCCUUGUCCUGCGACAUUUUAAUUUAAUUUCAAAUUCAAAUUAUUCAAACUUCAAAAUCAGUUUGUAUUUCGUGAAUUAUUAUUGUAAAUUAAUUGAGAGACCUUGUUUUGGUGGUUCUUCCAAUUUUAUAGAGUCGACAGACUUUAAGAGCUCUGCGAUAUCUUCAAAUUUAUCGGGUGACUCCGGUUUCCAGUCCACCUGGGGAGGACAAAUGAGUCAGGCGAGUUAAAUAAAAUUAGUUAAAAUGAAGGGCAUAAAAAACGAAAGGUCUUGUUAACCUGAUAUAACUUUUCGAACAUUCUCUUGAAGUACAACGAUCCAUUGUGGUGAAAUAUUUUGAUCCUUCAAAAAAACAUCAGAAAUCAUCGAACGAGGCCUUACGGAGUCAUUCAUUACAAUACGUACCGAAGUACAGUUUUUUGAGUGAUAUGUAUAAAAUAAAUUGUAAAUGUAAUCAACUGCGCGUAUGUAUGAACUGGUUUUUUCAAUCAAGCAACAAUACUUCACUAAAUUUUCAGUCAAGAGCAAGAUAAAUAUUUUCCAUCCAAAGAUUAAGCUUUUACGGGAAUAAAUAAAUAAAGAAGAGAGAAAAAUAAGAUUUAUACCCGUUGUCGACCUGUAGUCUUGGAGCAGUGGUAGCAGUCAUAAAGUAUCGUCCAUCGGAGGACCAUUCACUUGAUACUGAUAAUUCAGCUUUUGUAUCUCCCAAUUUCUUCUUCUCCGAAUAAUCCCAGAAUGCCUACGAGAAAAAUGACCAAAUUGACCCUUAGCAACAAUUACAGAACUUGAUUUAAUAUAACGCAAGUUCAGUAUAAAAAAAUGUUUCAUCAACAAACAUUUACAGACUACAAAAUAAAGGAAUUAUAUUAGUUCAUUAUCAUAACUGCCAUAAGUUUGUCGGAAGCACUUUUGUAUACUUUCACCAAUUUCAAAAUUCAGAGUAAAAUUGAAAUGAGUGACUAAUCUGAUGGCAAAGCAAACGGGAAAGUAAAUCAACACUGCGAAAACAAUUAGGACAAAAAACGUAUACCUAAUGAGAUAAACUAUUUGAGCGAACUUUUAGUAUCGGACACAAUAUAUAGAAGAUUAUUUGAAAGAACGUACCAUAUUGCCUGGUAAGUUUCCAAAUCCAGCCACACAUAUAACUAUACAGCACUAUUAAGGACAGCAAUUAGUACAAGAAACCGUAAGGUGUCUCUGUGUGUGGGUGUGUGUGUGUGUGUGUGUGUGUGUGUGUGUGUGUGUGUGUGAGAGAGAGAGAGAGAGAGAGAGAGAGAGAGAGAGAUUACUAAAUGAAGCAGAAUACUAGAUUAUAUUUAAGGAUACACUUCCCUUUUGGAUUCCAUCGAAGAGUAUUGUAUGGGCCAGUCCCAAGCUCCAGUAAAGGAUUGCAUUUCUUGUCGAAUAUUGUUGCCGUUGCAGGCAUAACUGUACUCAGUCAAGGAAGACAACAAUUGCAAAAAAACCAAAAUCCGAAGAAUAGACAUAAUCGAUCACACAAUCCAAACAAAAAACGUAAAAAUGAAUAAUGGGACAAGAAGGAAAGGAAAUAAAACAAACAAAAGGAUACAUCCAUAGACAACAGCAAAUUCUUUACCAGAGUACGACCACUGAACAUCGUGAACGGGGCCCUCCUUACCUAACAAAAACAUAUAUUGUCGAAUCAGCUUUUAAAAUAAAUAAAUAAAUAAAGGAAACUAGAUUUGAACACGUACGGAGUGGCACUAAUCCUUCGUAACUUCCAUCUGUAGUCAAAUAGUUCAACUUUGUCUCUCCAUAGUAACUUUGAUUAGUUUUGUCAACAUCCGACUGAACAACGAUCAACAAGCCUGUGGAACCGGUAUUCCAAUUUAGUUGUACGGACGAACACCUAAAGAAACUUUUUCUGGCAACGGGUUGACUUUGUAACUCCUUUGCACAAGAAAAUAUUUGAACACUGCCCGGCAUUCCCUACAUAAACAAGAUAUAUCGAUUUAAACAAGUAGGAAAUGCAGCUUAUGCAAAAAUAAUAAAUAAAAAGAUCGAAUAUAACAUCUACCCUUUAUUACAAACUUCUUAAACUUUGGCCAAAUGUUCGAUAUUUAGUAAUUUUGGAGGUGUAAUGGUCAACGAAAACCACAAGCAAAAAAAAAAAAAAAAAUCCCGUAAGGGAUGGUCUAGCGGUUAGAGCAUGUGUCAAAUGAUCCAGGUUCGAAUCCCCCUGCCAACGAUCGCUAGGUCGAGCUUGUCACACAUGGUUAGCCUACUGUGGUUUAUUCCUCUCAUACAGUUUCCAAGUUAUUAUACGAGAGUGUGGGUUUAACCAGUACACCUAUAUGGUUAAGCGGGUUCCUAAAUCACCAAAAAAAAAAAAAAAAACUUUUUUAACUUUCGCAACAUGCCGGCAAGGUUGAUUAAAAGUUAAAAACUGUCUGAAUAUUUUCGGUUUAAGUGGGGCCGCGUUUGUUGAAAUUCGAUUGUAUAUCGGAGAUUGACAAUGGAUACGAGUUUGUGGAACUCAUCUUGCAAUUGGGAAUACAUUGGAAGUAUCAAACUGAGCAACUGUUUUUUAGAUGAUCGUUGAAAAUUGAUGAAAGCUCAUUCGAGCUCGAUUCGAUUGCUUAUCGAGCUAAUUAAUUGAAAUACAACUUUUAAAGGUCGACAGAGAUUCAGACAAGCUUUAAUAACUAUUAUGCAUUUCGACUAGAAUAUUAUAAAAAAACUUUCGAUAAUUAGUAAUUUCCGAGGUGCAAUAGUCUCUAACAAACUCAAAGCUAUUAGGAUUUAGAACAACUUCCUCUAACUAUAAAAUUUAAUUCACUAGAUUUCUCCAAAAUAUCACUUAUAACUUAUAAGCCCACACUACACCAAAUCGAUAUUGUUUUUCUAGAGAAAAAUUGGUGUCAACGAAUUCCGUUACUCAUUUAAGACUUCAAAUAACGAAACAAGAUAGAAAAAUGACAACACGGACAAUAUAAACAUUUAGGUAAUAAUCGACACAGAUCACUAAAUUCAAUUAAAAAACCUUCGAUUCCGGAACAAACACUGCCACAUACGAUCCAGGGCUCUUAGAAAGCUCGAACGCAGCAAUUCCCGGCACUCUAAGCCGAUUAACAGCCCCUUUCGAGAAAUCUUUCGGGUCAAAGAACUGUACUUCAUUCGUCACCAAACGACACGCCACAUCUUCAUCAUAGCUAAAUUUGAAUACAGGCCUAAAAAUAGUACCACAAACAAAAAGAAAAAAAAAAUCAUUUACCAUAAUAAAAACCAAAUUCCCACAAAAUAUACAUACAGUAGAACCUCAAUUAAAUAAUAGUUUCUCUCAGUCCCGACUCGGUGAAGAUGUGUUAAAUUACUAACUCGAUAAUUUAAUAAUUCGCUAAAUUAAUAGAAUUUCCGUAGUCCCAACUGAAUUAAUUUAUAGAGGUUUAACUGUAUGUGUGUGUGUGUGUGUGUGUGUGUGUGUGUAUAUAUACCAUGUAGCUUUGCUCAUAUUCUUCUGAAACAGUUGAUAAACCGAUUCACCGGUUUCCGAUUUCCAAACGACGACGUUUUUUUCCUGCGGAGAAGUGGAUUUCUGAAAUGUCUGAACAAAAGUCCCACACGGAGAAAUGGUGGCGGCGAGAACAUUGGGCACUUGUAAUGAUUUUAUUUCCACCAAUUUCUUACAGUCGUAGAUGCUGAUGAGUGAGUCGGAUCGAAUGGCCAUGAGUUUUGAUCCAUCCUCGCUGAAUUUCGUGGUGCUGCAUCGCACUUUAUCGAGCUUGACGCUGGGUUCGCCAUUGAUGAAAGGUGGGCCUGCCCAAAUGGUUAAACCCUCUGGACCUCGUACGAGGAUGUCCAACGAUGGUGGAGGGUUCGAAACUGCCAUUGCAAGACUGUAAAUUUACCAAUUUUUCAGAAAUUGGAGGGGUUAACGAUUUUGGUGUAUGGAGCCCUAAAAUUGUAAUUGAAAGGGUUAAAUUACCAAAAAAACCCUGAACUGCGAUUGAAUUCCGAAAUACCUCUUCGGCAUUCAUGAUUACCAUAAACACCCCUCCGUUGACCAUUUUUGGGAAAAAUACCAUUUUCACCUCUCAAGUUUGCAUUGAUUUCACAUUUGGAUCUCUGUGUUCAUAAAUAACACAUUUGGUCCCUCAUAAUUCAAAAAUUCAACACUUGUAGUCAUUCCUGUCAAUUUUCCGGUAGUACUAGUGGAAUCAAGCUUGUGACCAUCACUGCCUCAACUGACGUAUUAACGUUAAAUUGACGGAAAAUUACCAAAAAUGUUGAAUUAUUGUAACAUGAGGGACCAAAUGUGUUUUUUGUGAACAUGUAGGACCAAAUAAGAAAUCAGUGCAAACUUGAGGGGUGUAAACUGUAAUAUUCCCGACAAAUUUUCAUUUUUAAUGUGCAAGCCUUAUAAUGUCUUUAAGUUAGGAAAUUUUAUAGUUUUCACCCAUUAAGUUGUCAACAAUUUCAUAUUUGGUCCCCUAUGUUUAAAAAAUACACAUUUGGUCCUGCGUGUUUUAAUAUUUUGACAUUUUUGGUUAUUUUCCUCGAAUUACUUCCGUCAGCUACGGUAGUGAUGAGCACACGUUUGAUUCCGCUAGUUUUAACGGAAAUUUGAAGGAAAUAAUACUUUGCCCCCUAUAAUUUAACCCGUUUUGAACUUUGUCAUCUUAAUAAAAAAAAAGUUGCACUUCUGCACCUGAACUCAUUAUUUUGUUACCGAUUGUCAUUUAUACUUUAUUUAUUUUAACCGAAAUUCAAAACAUGUGCAUUGGACAUGACUAUUCUAAGGGCAAAGUGGUAUUUUCAAAUUAAAUUAUGUUAAAAGUCCUAAAUUCUUCUCAUUUUCUUCCUACUUUCCCUCCGUUUAUUCUCUUCUAUUCUUCCUCCAUUUUAUUUAUCCCAAUCAGCCUUAACCCCUUUCCCGUCAAAAUCAACUCCAAAUGAUCACCAGAAUAUAUAAAACCGGUGAAAUUGUUCGAAUCCAACUCAAGAGCUACCAAUGGGAUGGGGCCGACCAACUCGGCGUUGAGGAGGCGUCGGCGAUGAGGGAGUUUGUGCGGGUUUGUUCUAACACGGCGUUGAGGAGACAAAAUGACCCCUGUGAUUUAUGGUCAACUUUGAAUAAACUAACGCUGUCACUUUUAAUGUGCAAUUACUUCUUUGUCCACCAAUUACUCUCUCUCUCUCUCUUCUUUUUCAUUUUCUUCUCACCAUUUUUUCUUUCUUCCUUUUCUUUUGACAUCAUUUUCUUUUCACAGUUCUCUCUUCUCUCCGCUUUUUCUCUCCUCUUAUACCCUCUUUUGCAUCAAAUCCCAGAUUAUCAAGGUAGAAAUUGCGAGCUUUAGCUCAUUCUUUUUUCUUCAAAAAUUCAGAUUAACCCUUGUUUGUCUUAUAGCAAAAUUCAUCGAGCAAAACUCAUCGAGUUUUCAUGUUUUCCCAUUAAAAUUCAAUCAAAUAUCAUAAUUGAUCAUCCACUGUUUUAGUUAUGUUCUGGAAACCCAAAAGGAAAAUAUUAAAACAUAGAAGAAAUUUCUAAAAUCCUAGAAAUCCCUUAUUUUGGUGCAAAAAUUGUUGUAGCAGUGCUUGUUCUUCGUGCCAUCAAUCUCUUGCUCUUUGCCGAUUCAGUGCUCCGCAAAUCCAAAGGUCUUUUUGUUGUUUGGUUUGCAAUAAUCUGUACUUCCUGCAGCGCGGCGUUGUUUAGUUGUUGUUGUUGUUGUAUUUCUAUGGUAUUUUUGUCAUUUCACAUUUUUAGUACAUUUCUUGAAUUUAAUUUUAUCUAGAUGAAAUUGUAAGAAUAAAGUUGUAUUGGGGUUAAAUUAAUAAUAUAGGUAAAAUAAAAAGGGGGUUAAUGUGAUAAGAAUGGUAACACAGCUGAAUAUAAGCAAGGUAAAGAAGAAGAAAGAGUUGAGAGGAAGAAGACUGUAUUUCCUAUCUAUUUUCCAACGUACAAACAUUAUGGCUAUAUUGCCUUACAUUGAUAGAGGUUAAUUAACUUACUAAUACUAAUAAGGGUAAACUUCAUUUUACCUACCUGAACUAUACCCAACGUAUAAAAUGCCCCCCUGAACUUCAAAAUGAAUCAAAAUGGUCCCUCCAGAUUUUGGGUCAACGUUAAAUUCAAUUAAAAUAGUAACUCCGUUAGUUUUUAUGUCUUAUUACCUUUUUGCCCUCCAACCUUUUCUUCUUCGUCCAAUUCUUUCUUCUUCUUCGUCCCUUUCAUUUAUAUUUUUUAUUUUCUUUCUUGCUGAAUUUUUUUAGCAUAAACCCAUGAAUUUACAUUUCAAAUUCCAGGAAUCCAAGAAUUAUGCUUUUGUGAGAAAUCACCAAAGAAUUAUGUAUCACCCAACCCAAAUCCGAACCCCCAAUCAAUCGAAAUCCCCAAAACUCACUAAAAAUCACAAAUUCAAGAACAACCCAGAUGAGGAUUCCAGCCCAAACCACACCCCCACAGCAAAAUUACACGAAGGUGGAUAUGGGUUGUGAGUUCGCCAAAUUUUAGGAAACCGUCGAGCUUCUCAACAACCUUGUCGGCGGGAGAAAGAUUCAACCCAAAGUUUCUUUUAGCGAGAGUGAUUGGG
rnacentral:lncRNA from 1 species